rnacentral:rRNA from 1 species
GUGAGGAAUAUUGCACAAUGGGCGAAAGCCUGAUGCAGCAACGCCGCGUGAGUGAUGAAGGCCUUUGGGUCGUAAAACUCUGUCCUUGGGGAAGAAAAAAAUGACGGUACCCUUGGAGGAAGCCCCGGCUAACUACGUGCCAGCAGCCGCGGUAAUACGUAGGGGGCGAGCGUUAUCCGGAAUUAUUGGGCGUAAAGAGUGCGUAGGUGGUUUUGUAAGCGUAGGGUGAAAGGCAGUAGCUCAACUAUUGUUAGCCCUGCGAACUGUGAGACUUGAGUGCAGGAGAGGAAAGUGGAAUUCCUAGUGUAGCGGUGAAAUGCGUAGAUAUUAGGAGGAACACCAGUGGCGAAGGCGACUUUCUGGACUGUAACUGACACUGAGGCACGAAAGCGUGGGUAGCAAACAGGAUUAGAAACCCGAGUAGUCC